rfam:Oryzias latipes DNA, chromosome14, strain: Hd-rR.
CCAACGGCUCUUUUAAGAGCCACUGACAUGUCUGUUUGGAGCUCCA